rnacentral:rRNA from 1 species
UAGUCAUGCGCUCGUCUCAAAGAUUAAGCCAUGCAUGUCUAAGUGUAAAUACUUUUACUUUGAAACUGCGAACGGCUCAUUAUGUCAGUUGUAGUUUAUCUGAUAGUCCCUUACUACUUGGAUAACCGUAGUAAUUCUAGAGCUAACACAUGCAUCAAUGCCCAACUGUUCGCGGACGGGUAGUACUUACUAGAUAGAAACCAACCCUCUUCGGAGGCGCUCAGGUGAUUCAUGAUAACUCUGCGAAUCGCAUGGCCUCGUGCCGGCGAUGGAUCAUUCAAGUUUCUGCCCUACCAGCUUUGGAUGGUAGGGUAUUGGCCUACCACGGCUUUAACGGGUAACGGGUAGUUAGGGUUAGAUUCCGGAGAGGGGGCAUGAGAGAUGGCCACCACAUCCAAGGAAGGCAGCAGGCGCGUAAAUUACCCAAUCCUGACACAGGGAGGUAGUGACAAGAAAUAACAAUGCCGGGCCUUUCUAGGUCUGGCAAUUGGAACGAGAACAAUUUAAAUCCCUUACCGAGGAUCAAAUAGG